rnacentral:rRNA from 1 species
AAGGGGUCCUGAGGUGGUUUGCCCAGUCUACUGUGAAAGAUCAGGGCUCAACCCUGAAAAUGCGGUGGAAACUAGCAGGCUAGAAUACGGUAGGGGCAGGGGGAAUUCCCGGUGUAGCGGUGAAAUGCAUAGAUAUCGGGAAGAACACCAAUGGCGAAAGCACCCUGCUGGGCCGAUAUUGACACUGACAGACGAAAGCUAGGGGAGCAAAUGGGAUUAGAUACCCCAGU